CGCGUAGGCGGUCUCUAUAGUCAGAUGUGAAAGCCCGGGGCUUAACCCCGGAAGUGCAUUUGAAACUCAGGGACUUGAGUAUGGGAGAGGGAAGUGGAAUUCCUGGUGUAGCGGUGAAAUGCGUAGAUAUCAGGAGGAACACCAGUGGCGAAGGCGACUUCCUGGACCAAUACUGACGCUGAGGCGCGAAGGCGUGGGGAGCAAACAGGAUUAGAUACCCUGGUAGUCC
rnacentral:rRNA from 1 species